AGCUUUGCACAGUGGCAGUAUUGUAGCCAAUGAGGUUUAUCCGAGGUGCAAUUAUUGGCUAAUUAAACUAUCUCACUGACCAAGGCUACCUAUAACUCAGAUUCUUCCAUCCAUAUAACAAAGUGUUUCUUCCUUUAUCUUGGUUGAACCUAGGGCUUAAGAGUUCCCUGAUGUUCCAUGACUUGGAUACAUCAAGGUAAUCUAUUGAUGGUGAAGUUUUAU
rnacentral:snRNA from 12 species